rnacentral:rRNA from 1 species
UACGUAGGGUGCAGGCGUUAAUCGGAAUUACUGGGCGUAAAGCGUGCGCAGGCGGUUUUGCUAAGACAGGUGUGAAAUCCCCGGGCUUAACCUGGGAACUGCGCUUGUUACUGGCAGGCUGGAGUGUGGCAGAGGGGGGUGGAAUUCCACGUGUAGAGGUGAAAUUCGUAGAUAUUUGGGAAGAACACCGAUGGCGAAGGCAGCCAUCUGGACCGACACU